GCGGUUCUGAGUCGGCAACCACGUAUCCUGCCACUGAUAUUAAUUGAAGGGUCGCGGUAUUUUGACCGUGCAAAGGAAGCAUAAUCAUUAGUCUUUUAAUUGAGGGCUUGAAUGAAUGGUUUGACGAAAUAUUAACUGUCUCUUUAUAAUAAGUGGAAUUUAACUUCUGAGUCAAAAGGCUUAGAUGAGUAUAGAAGACGAGAAGACCCUAUAGAUCUUUAUAUAAUGAAUGUAAUUAUCAAUUUAGUUGUAUUACUUAUAAUUAUAUUGUUAUAUUUUGUUGGGGUGACAUGAAGAUAAAAGUAACUCUUUAUAAUAUACACAUUGAUUUAUGGAUAAUUGAUCCGUUAUUAACGAUUAUAAGAUAAAGUUACCUUAGGGAUAACAGCGUAAUUUUUUUUGAGAGUUCUUAUCGAUAAAAAAGAUUGCGACCUCGAUGUUGGAUUAAGGAAUAUGAUUAGGUGCAGUAGUUUAAUUAAUAAGUCUGUUCGACUUUUAAAUCCUUACGUGAUCUGAUUUCAGACCGGA
rnacentral:rRNA from 1 species